AGAGUUUGAUCCUGGCUCAGGAUGAACGCUAGCUACAGGCUUAACACAUGCAAGUCGAGGGGCAGCAUGUUGGUUGCUUGCAACCAACGAUGGCGACCGGCGCACGGGUGAGUAACGCGUAUCCAACCUACCCUUGUCCAUCGGAUAACCCGUCGAAAGGCGGCCUAACACGAUAUGCGGUUCACAGCAGGCAUCUAACGUGAACGAAAUGUAAAGGAGAAGGAUGGGGAUGCGUCUGAUUAGCUUGUUGGCGGGGUAACGGCCACAAGGCUACGAUCAGUAGGGGUUCUGAGAGGAAGGUCCCCCANAUUGGAACUGAGACACGGUCCAAACUCCUACGAGAGGCA
rnacentral:rRNA from 1 species